GAUGAACGCUGGCGGCGUGCUUAACACAUGCAAGUCGAACGGUGAAGCUCCAGCUUGCUGGAGUGGAUCAGUGGCGAACGGGUGAGUAACACGUGAGCAACCUGCCCCUGACUCUGGGAUAACAGCCGGAAACGGCUGCUAAUACCGGAUAUGCACCAUGAACGCAUGUUCUGUGGUGGGAAAGAUUUUUCGGUUGGGGAUGGGCUCGCGGCCUAUCAGCUUGUUGGUGAGGUAAUGGCUCACCAAGGCGUCGACGGGUAGCCGGCCUGAGAGGGUGACCGGCCACACUGGGACUGAGACACGGCCCAGACUCCUACGGGAGGCAGCAGUGGGGAAUAUUGCACAAUGGGCGAAAGCCUGAUGCAGCAACGCCGCGUGAGGAAUGACGGCCUUCGGGUUGUAAACCUCUUUUAGCAGGGAAGAAGCGAGAGUGACGGUACCUGCAGAAAAAGCGCCGGCUAACUACGUG
rnacentral:rRNA from 1 species